AGCGUGGGGAGCAAACAGGAUUAGAUACCCUGGUAGUYCACGCCGUAAACGAUGAGUACUAAGUGUCGGGUUAAACCGGUACUGAAGUUAACACAUUAAGUACUCCGCCUGAGUAGUACGUACGCAAGUAUGAAACUUAAAGGAAUUGACGGGACUCCGCACAAGCGGUGGAUCAUGUUGUUUAAUUCGAAGAUACCCGAAAAACCUUACCAGGUCUUGACAUGUUUUUGCAAAAUGAUAGUAAUAUCGUGGAGGUUACCAGAAACACAGGUGGUGCAUGGUUGUCGUCAGCUCGUGUCGUGAGAUGUUAGGUUAAGUCCUAAAACGAGCGAAACCCUUAUCGUUAGUUGCCAGCACGUUAUGGUGGGGACUUUAACGAGACUGCCAAUGAUAAAUUGGAGGAAGGUGAGGAUCACGUCAAAUCAGCAUGCCCCUUAUGACCUGGGCUACAAACGUGAUACAAUGGCUGUUACAAAGGGUAGCUGAAACGCAAGUUCUUGGCCAAUCCCCAAAAACAGUCCCAGUCCGGAUUGAAGUCUGCAACUCGACUUCAUGAAGUUGGAAUCGCUAGUAAUCGCGAAUCAGCAUGUCGCGGUGAAUACGUUCUCGGGGUUUGUACACACCGCCCGUCAAACCACGAAAGUUGGCAAUACCCCAAAACGGUAGCCUAACUCGUUUAUUCGAGAGGGCGCCGUCUAAGGUAGGGUCGAUGAUUGGGGUUAAGUCGUAACAAGGUAUCCCUACCGGAAGGUGGGGAUGGAUCACCUCCUUUCUAAGGAAACCAAUAAAAUCAAUCAUCUUCAGUUUUGAAAGACUUAGGCAACUAAGUUUUUCUUCGUGACUUCACGAAAGGGCCUAUAGCUCAGCUGGUA
rnacentral:sRNA from 1 species